rnacentral:rRNA from 1 species
UGGGGAAUUUUGGACAAUGGGCGAAAGCCUGAUCCAGCAAUGCCGCGUGUGUGAAGAAGGCCUUCGGGUUGUAAAGCACUUUUGUCCGGAAAGAAAUCCUUGGCUCUAAUACAGUCGGGGGAUGACGGUACCGGAAGAAUAAGCACCGGCUAACUACGUGCCAGCAGCCGCGGUAAUACGUAGGGUGCAAGCGUUAAUCGGAAUUACUGGGCGUAAAGCGUGCGCAGGCGGUUUGCUAAGACCGAUGUGAAAUCCCCGGGCUCAACCUGGGAACUGCAUUGGUGACUGGCAGGCUAGAGUAUGGCAGAGGGGGGUAGAAUUCCACGUGUAGCAGUGAAAUGCGUAGAGAUGUGGAGGAAUACCGAUGGCGAAGGCAGCCCCCUGGGGCCAAUACUGACGCUCAUGCACGAAAGCGUGGGGAGCAAAACAGGAUUAGAUACCCUGGUAGUCCACGCCCUAAACGAUGUCAACUAGUUGUUGGGGAUUCAUUUCCUUAGUAACGUAGCUAACGCGUGAAGUUGACCGCCUGGGGGAGUACGGUCGCAAGAUUAAAACUCAAAGGAAUUGACGGGGUCAUAGCUGUUUCCU